GAGCAGUCAGGCGCACAAGGCCCUGAUAAGAUCCGGGAUCUUGCCCCACCUCCUGCUUCCAGAUCCGCCGGCUGGGGAUGGAGAAUGAGACAAGCAUAUCCAGGAACAACACCUAAGCUGUACUGGCCUAAAGGGCGAAUUUGAUACUAGGAUCACACCCAGUAAGGAGAGUUUCGAAAGCUGAAUGGAUUCCAUACAAACCCACUAGAAGACAAAAGCAUCAUCAGUGUAACUUUACAUACACCUGAAUGAACUUAUCAAUAUGUCCACUGGGCAUGAAUAUACAAUCAUAUGUAAAAGUUUGGGAACCUCUCUCAGCCUGCAUAAUUCCUUCACUUUCAAAAAUAAAAAAGAUAACAGUGGUA